UAACUGUGGUAAUUCUAGAGCUAAUACGUGCAACCAGCUUGCUUCCUUGUGGAGCGAGCGCAGUUAUUAGAACAAGACCAAUCCGGCCUUCGGGUCGGUACAAUUGGUGACUCUGAAUAACCGAAGCAGAGCGCAUGGUCUCGUACCGGCGCCAGAUCUUUCAUGUGUCUGACUUAUCAGCUUGUUGUUAGGUUAUGUUCCUAACAAGGCUUCAACGGGUAACGGGGUAUCAGGGUCCGAUACCGGAGAGGGAGCCUGAGAAACGGCUACCACAUCCAAGGAAGGCAGCAGGCGCGCAAAUUACCCACUCCUAGCACAGGGAGGUAGUGACGAAAAAUAACGAUGCGAGGGCUUAUAGCUUCUYGUAAUCGGAAUGGGUACACUUUAAAUCCUUUAACGAGGAUCAAUUGGAGGGCAAGUCUGGUGCCAGCAGCCGCGGUAAUUCCAGCUCCAAUAGCGUAUAUUAAAGUUGCUGCGGUUAAAAAGCUCGUAGUUGGAUCUGGGCUUCUGAAUGGAUGGUGCGCUUUUCGGUGCUACUGUCCGUUUGGUGCCACAAGCCGGCCAUGUAGUGCAUGCCCUUCAUUGGGUGUGCAUUGCGACCGGAACGUUUACUUUGAAAAAAUUAGAGUGCUCAAAGCAGGCGUAUGGCCUUGCAUAAUGGUGCAUGGAAUAAUGGAAUAGGACCUCGGUUCUAUUUUGUUGGUUUUCGGAACUCGAGGUAAUGAUUAACAGGAACAGACGGGGGCAUUCGUAUUGCGGCGUUAGAGGUGAAAUUCUUGGAUCGUCGCAAGACGAACU
rnacentral:rRNA from 1 species